rnacentral:lncRNA from 1 species
AAGCUUCUCCAGUGUCUCAAACCAAAGCAGCUCCAAAAUCCGUAGAGAUACUCAAGGAUUUUAGUAUCGAGGCACUGACCUCCUCGACGGACCUAGUGACAAUGACUCGCUCGGUUCCAAGAGGAACCUUGAGCUUCUCAAAAAGAAGGGAGAGAAGGCGAGGGAACCCAAAGUAGGUUUUGCUGGUCCUCAUUCGAGCAGUGGUUCGCAUGUAGCUGAUGAUGAUGCUAGGUAGUGGAAUACCCGUUAGCUGCCCAUCCAAACCAUUCAUCAUCUUAUCUAGGAAGUAAAGGUCACUGUUGCGGAGCUCCCGUUUUUCAGUUCUUUUUGGUAC